AGAUGCCAUCCAGGCGCACGGCGGGUAUAGUGGUUCCGCAACCUUGGGAUGUUCGGCUGAGCGCCUGCCUAACAUGGGAGCGCCUGCCUAACCCUCCUGACUGGAGGGUCAGCGGCGGGGAGUCCUGGCCUUCAAUCGGCCAUCGCCACGGCAGAAACUGGGGCCCGGGCUGCGUCCAGGCCCUUCCCCGUCCGUCCACAGGUCUCAUGGGCGCCCGGACUGGGGCUGAUGUAGUUUCCCGACCUCUGACACAUAGGAUCUGGAGAUUAAAGCUGCUCUGCUAAUAAUUAGGUUCCCACCUCUCAAGAUCAUUAGGAGCUUCUUUUCCAAUUCCUCUGUUUUGCAUGCAUUGGAAGGCCCCUGGAUCCUCCUGGAAUCCCUGAUCCCUGUUGCUCCCUGGCGGAGUUUUCUAGUCCCUCUUACUUGAAGCAUGUCUUUCAGAGCCCGGCACCACCCAAGUUGGGUAUCUGCUCCUGCUGUCUUCCAUGCUGGGGACAGGAAAGGCUCCACGCUUGACUUUCCCUCCUGUUUUCUUAUCUGCUGUCAACCCCUGA
rnacentral:lncRNA from 1 species